GGGGAAUAUUGGACAAUGGGGGCAACCCUGAUCCAGCAAUGCCGCGUGAGUGAUGAAGGCCUUAGGGUUGUAAAGCUCUUUUGCCAGGGAAGAUGAUGACUGUACCUGGAGAAUAAGCCCCGGCUAACUUCGUGCCAGUAGCCGCGGUAAUACGAAGGGGGCUAGCGUUGUUCGGAAUUACUGGGCGUAAAGGGCGCGUAGGCGGCCGUUUAAGUUAGGUGUGAAAGUCCUGGGCUCAACCUGGGGACUGCACUUAAUACUGGAUGGCUUGAAUUCGGGAGAGGAUAGCGGAAUUCCCAGUGUAGAGGUGAAAUUCGUAGAUAUUGGGAAGAACACCGGUGGCGAAGGCGGCUAUCUGGACCGACAUUGACGCUGAGGCGCGAAAGCGUGGGGAGCAAAC
rnacentral:rRNA from 1 species